CUGCAUCCACUGAACGGGAAGCUCAGGACAAGCACAAUCACCCCAUGGUGUUCCACAUGGCUCCAGCGGAGUUUGUGUCUACCGUGUCGGGUGCUUUUUAACGGGUUUUUAUUUUUACUUCGUCAUUGUAAUCUUGAACCAAUGACGAUCUUUAGUUGACUUGAACUCUAAGAAGAGUAUCUUCGAAAGUAAGCUGCUUGUGUUUUUUUAUUUUCCUAUCCUCUCUGAAUCCGCUCUGACUCUUCCACACCCUACCUACUCUCCAUCUUGAGCUAAGUCACAGGCUAUGCUCUGAUCAUGGGCACUGCUGCCAUCUAAGGGUUGUUGCAACUCAUCACAAUAAUUUUCAAGCUUGAUACAUAAAUGGAAUAGAUUAGUGAUAACUUGAGGGUGGGAGGUAAUGAGGUAACGAUUCUGUUAACGGUCUUUGAGAAAAUGUUUAAAUUAAAAUGAUAUAGAUGUUUUGCACCUUCUACAUUCUUUUAUCUGUCAAAUUGAUAUGUUCGUCCAAAGACCUAUUUAUGCUUGCGCAGGGGACAACGGCAGCAUUACAUCACAUGACCAAUGCAUUGUGUCAUGCAGCACCUCCGCUACUGGUCUGCAACACAUAGUCAGAAAUCAGAAACACAGAUUCAGAAAUCUUUUCUGAGCGUAUCAUCUCUCAUGAUGGGUUCGUUUAGUCACAUGCUGUACAGUUUAUCCUGGCUAUGUUCCACAAGGCCUCUUAAAUCCUGAUUUAUAUCAGAACCUCCAAAUCUGAGACCAUGGUUCUUAGUCGGAAACCUCUCCAGGUCGGCGAUGAGAUCUUGUCAUAAGUGGAGGUGUUCAAGUAUCUUGGAGUUUGUUCACGAGUGUGGGUAGGAUGGAGCAGGAAACUGGCAGAUCAGUGCAGCAUCUGCUGUGAUGCAUACUCUGGUCUUUCGUGGUGAAGGAGUUGUCGAAAUUCAAAGCUCUCGAUAUACCGGUCGAUCUAUGAUCCUACCCUCAUCUAUGAGCUGCGGGUCGUGACUGAAAGAAGGAGAUCCUGAAACAAGCGGCCAAAAUGAGUUUCCUCCGCAGGGUGUCCAGGCUCUCCCUUAAAGAUAGGGUGAGAAGCUCGGUCAUCCGUGAGGGACUUGGAGUCGAGCUGCUGCUCCACCGUGUUGAGAGGGGCUGGAUGAGGUGGCUCGGGCAUCUCAUUAGGAUGCCUCCUGGACGCUUCCCAGGAGAGGUGUCUCACCAGUAGAAGGCCCCAGGGACGACCCAGCACAGUCUGGAGAGACUAUGUCAUCUGAAGCACGGUCAUCUGAGAGGGACUCUGAGGUGCCUUGGGCAUCUGAUUAGAAUGCUGAGGUGUUCCGGCCAUGUCCCACGAGUAGCAGGCCCGUACCCGGAUGGCCCAGGACGUGCUCGAGAGACUGUCUCUCGGUUGGCCUGGGAAUGACUUGCGAUCCCUCCAGAAGAGCUGGAAGAAGUGGCUGGGUAGAGAGAAGUUUGGGCUUCCCUGCUGAAGCUGCUGCCUCCUUGACCUGACCCCAAAUACGCGGUGGUGGUGAAAGCAGUUGGUGUUGAUCCUUGAACUUCCCAUGUCUCUGGAAACCUGUUUUCUGUAGAACAAUGUGUACGUCACAGUCCAAUGCGCCCUUGCACGUAGUGUUAUUCUCAGAUAGAGCAAUUUCAAUAUUACGUGCAGUGGACCAAGCUUGGCUAGCGUGAGGGGUAAUUCCAGUUGCAAACGCUCCCUGAUGCGCAGUGAGUUCAUCUUUUCAACAAGUUAAUCUCUAAUCAUCUCCUCCUCCAUAUUUCCAAACUGAUACAUUACAACAUAACUACAAAACUAGCUCUUUUAAAGCAUCGACAAAACUAUUUGGUUGUUUUAUCAAAGCAUUGGGUCUGUUGUCUGAAGCGUUAAAGUUUGGAAAAAAGUUUGUAAGUGUGCUCGGCAUCAUGUCAUAUUUGUCAUCAGCCACAGCCAAUGUGUAACAGGAAUGAAUAUACAUAUACAUACAUACGUACAUACACACCCACGCGCAGACAAACACACGCAUACACACACACACCCAUGCACACACACACACACACGCCAGUCUGUCCUUCGUACGCGACCUCAGCCUCCUUCCGUCCUCGUUAGUUCUUAGUCAUAAGAUAAUGAAUGGUCCGUCCGUCCUCGUUAUUGUAAAACCAUCAGCGGUCCGUACCUCCGUCCAUCGUAAGUAUAUGUAGUAUAAAAUAAAAAUCAUAGUCCAACAGAUGAGCUUUGAAUAAAAUGGUGAAGUGCUUAUAUGAGUAUGAUGGUACGGUGGCUGCCUCAGAGCUUUACGAAGCCUCAUAUUCACUUAGUAUGUUGUCUGUACUUGCUUGCUGCCUAACAGUAGUCGGGGGAUGUAGAGGAGACGUUUGUCCAAGGCUGUGGGGUCGUUGUCAUUGCACAUUGUCAACAGGGGAAGUCCCAACAGCGCGAUAACGCACACAUACACCACAGGGAGACGGGUCGCACUGCAGUCAGAGUUUAUUUGGCACACUUUUUCCUCUUGCUUCUUACACUCGAUGUAGUAUUCUUUCAUUUGUUUUUAUCAGUUUCUGGUCCACAACCGCACACACGCUAGCUCCCGCCUUCCUCCUCCAGAAUACUUCACACGCAUGUGCACUCUGUCGACACACGUCAUGCAUACAUACACAACCAUCAGUAGCACACAAUACCCACAACAACGGCAAAAA